UACGGGGGGGGCAAGCGUUGUUCGGAAUUACUGGGCGUAAAGGGCUCGUAGGCGGCCAACUAAGUCAGACGUGAAAUCCCUCGGCUUAACCGGGGAACUGCGUCUGAUACUGGAUGGCUUGAGGUUGGGAGAGGGAUGCGGAAUUCCAGGUGUAGCGGUGAAAUGCGUAGAUAUCUGGAGGAACACCGGUGGCGAAGGCGGCAUCCUGGACCAAUUCUGACGCUGAGGAGCGAAAGCCAGGGGAGCGAACAGG
rnacentral:rRNA from 1 species